GUGGGGAAUAUUGCGCAAUGGGGGAAACCCUGACGCAGCAACGCCGCGUGAGUGAUGAAGGCCUUCGGGUCGUAAAGCUCUGUCAGGUGGAAAGAUGAAAUUGGUCCUGAACAGGGGCCAGUUUUGACGGUACCGCCAAAGGAAGCACCGGCUAACUCCGUGCCAGCAGCCGCGGUAAUACGGAGGGUGCAAGCGUUGUUCGGAAUUAUUGGGCGUAAAGCGCGUGUAGGCGGUCCUGUAAGUCAGGUGUGAAAGACCUUAGCUCAACUAAGGAACGUCACCUGAAACUAUGGGGCUUGAGUACGGGAGAGGAGAGUGGAAUUCCCGGUGUAGAGGUGAAAUUCGUAGAUAUCGGGAGGAACACCCGUGGCGAAGGCGACUCUCUGGACCGAUACUGACGCUGAGACGCGAAAGCGUGGGGAGCAAACAGGAUUAGAUACCCGGGUAGUCC
rnacentral:rRNA from 1 species